AGAAAUUUGCUAGGAAAGAUAUAAAAAUGGAUUUUUAAGAAAAUUGUGAUUGGGAGAUAGGUAAUGCAAUUCAUUCUUUAUCACAUCAGAAGACCUAUUACAGAAGACCUUCUGUAAAGACUGCUUUUCAAGGACUGAAUUUGGAUUUGUUUUCCAUUCACGGGCUGAGAUGGGCCUUAAAGCUGUUCAGGUGUUAGUUGGAUAGAUUUUAAGAGUAAUUCAGGGUGAAAGAAAUCUUUUUUUAUUAUGACAUUCAAAACAUUUAUCAACAGUCAUAAUUCAGUGAAAAAGUGCUAUAAUUCUUGAUUCAUGUUAAGCCAAGAGCUUUGCAACUUCUGAUGGCUUUUUUAGUGUAAUGAUUUAUAUACUUAAUCUCUGCAUUGUUUUUACAUUUUUUUCUCAAUUAUGUCUUAUCCUAUGAGAUAAUGAGUGGACUACAGACUGGAAACUAACCCCAUAGAAAAUAAAAUAGUAAUGGUUCCUUCAACUAGUUUUCAAAAUCUAAAAAGCCCCUCAAUAACAUAGACUAGGAAAUUUAAUAUAAAGCAGGUAUAUGAGUAUAUAUGCAUAUUUUAGUUAUUAAAGAUGAUUUCUGAAGGUUUUGACUUAUGGGAGUUACUCAUUUUCUAUUAUUAAAUUCUAUGCUUAUGAAUAUUAAACAGCUUUAAUUAAUGAAUAUGUGCACUAGUAAAUAUCAAAAUAUUUCAGGUAAAAUUUUCAAAUCUGUGAUUGGUAGGCAAUAAAG
rnacentral:lncRNA from 1 species